rnacentral:lncRNA from 1 species
GUAGAGUGUUGUUGUUUCCGAAAUACCCUCAGCUCAAGUAACUCAUAACAAAACAAUGUUAAAAAUAACAUAAAGACGCAAAGCAGACAUAACAAAUAAUAACAAAAUCGUAACAUAGCAAUCAAAAAAAGGCACACUAACAACAUCUCAAAACAAUGCGAUAACUGAAGCAAAGAACAACGAAUAUUAACAGAAAUCAAAAG